rnacentral:rRNA from 1 species
GAUGAACGCUGACAGAAUGCUUAACACAUGCAAGUCGAUGGGGAAGUGGUGCUUGCACCAUGGCAACCAUGGCGGACGGGUGAGUAACGCGUAAGGGACUUACCUGCAGGGCUGGGAUAACAGGGGGAAACUCCUGACAAGACCGGAUAAUGUCAUGGAGCUGCAUGGCUUUAUGAUGAAAGGAGACGCCUGCGGAGAGCCUUGCGUCCUAUUAGCUAGUUGGUGAGGUAAUGGCUCACCAAGGCGAAGAUAGGUAGCCGGCCUGAGAGGGUGGACGGCCACAAGGGGACUGAGAUACGGCCCUUACUCCUACGGGAGGCAGCAGUGGGGAAUAUUGGACAAUGGGGGCAACCCUGAUCCAGCAAUUCUGUGUGCACGAAGAAGGUUUUCGGAUUGUAAAGUGCUUUCAGCAGGGAAGAAGUAAGUGACGGUACCUGCAGAAGAAGCGACGGCUAAAUACGUG